rnacentral:rRNA from 1 species
UGGGGAAUAUUGGACAAUGGGCGAAAGCCUGAUCCAGCCAUGCCGCGUGAGUGACGAAGGCCUUAGGGUUGUAAAACUCUUUCGUCGGGGACGAUAAUGACGGUACCCGAAGAAGAAGCUCCGGCUAACUUCGUGCCAGCAGCCGCGGUAAUACGAAGGGAGCUAGCGUUGUUCGGAAUCACUGGGCGUAAAGCGCACGUAGGCGGAUAGUUAAGUCAGGGGGUGAAAUCCUGGGGCUCAACCCCAGAACUGCCUUUGAUACUGGCUGUCUCGAGGUCGAGAGAGGUUGGUGGAAUUCCUAGUGUAGAGGUGAAAUUCGUAGAUAUUAGGAAGAACACCAGUGGCGAAGGCGGCCAACUGGCUCGGAUACUGACGCUGAGGCGCGAAAGCUAGGGGAGCAAACGGGAUUAGAUACCCCAGUAGUCCCUGAGCGGGCUGGCAAGGCGCAU